UACAGAGGGGGCAAGCGUUGUUCGGAAUUACUGGGCGUAAAGGGCGCGUAGGCGGCCUGCUAAGUCGAACGUGAAAUCCCUGGGCUCAACCCAGGAACUGCGUCCGAUACUGGUUGGCUUGAAUCCGGGAGAGGGAUGUGGAAUUCCAGGUGUAGCGGUGAAAUGCGUAGAUAUCAGGAGGAACACCAAUUGCGAAGGCAGCUCGCUGGGACGUUACUGACGCUGAGACGCGAAAGCGUGGGGAGCAAACAGG
rnacentral:rRNA from 1 species